rnacentral:rRNA from 1 species
UUUAAGUUGUUGCAGUUAAAAAGCUCGUAGUUGGAUUUUGGUUAAGAGGGCGCGGUCGGCCGUUUGGUCUGUACUGCGUUGUCUUGACUUCCUGAUGAGGACAUGCUCUUGGUUAACGCUGAGACAUGGAGUCAUCGUGGUUACUUUGAAAAAAUUAGAGUGUUCAAAGCGGGCUUACGCUUGAAUAUAUUAGCAUGGAAUAACACUAUAGGACUCCUGUCCUAUCUCGUUGGUCUCGGGAUGGGAGUAAUGAUUAAGAGGAACAGUUGGGGGCAUUCGUAUUUCAUUGUCAGAGGUGAAAUUCUUGGAUUUAUGAAAGACGAACUUCUGCGAAAGCAUUUGCCAAGGAUGUUUUCAUUAAUCAAGAACGAAAGUUGGGGGCUCGAAGAUGAUUAGAUACCAUCCUAGUCUCAACCAUAAACGAUGCCGACUAGGGAUUGGUGGAUGUUAAUUGAUGACUUCACCAGCACCUUAUGAGAAAUCAAAGUUUUUGGGUUCCGGGGGGAGUAUGGUCGCAAGGCUGAAACUUAAAGGAAUUGAC